AGAGUUUGAUCCUGGCUCAGGACGAACGCUGGCGGCGUGCUUAACACAUGCAAGUCGAGCGGAAAGGCUCCUUCGGGGGUACUCGAGCGGCGAACGGGUGAGUAACACGUGAGUAAUCUGCCCUCCACUUCGGGAUAACUGCCUGAAAGGGUGGCUAAUACCGGGUAUUCUCCUUGCACCGCAUGGUGUGGGGUGGGAAGUUUUUUCGGUGGGGGAUGUGCUCGCGGCCUAUCAGCUUGUUGGUGGGGUAAUGGCCUACCAAGGCUUUGACGGGUAGCCGGCCUGAGAGGGUGACCGGCCACACUGGGACUGAGACACGGCCCAGACUCCUACGGGAGGCAGC
rnacentral:rRNA from 1 species